rnacentral:rRNA from 1 species
AUUGAACGCUGGCGGCAGGCCUAACACAUGCAAGUCGAGCGGAGCGGCGGACGGGUGCGUAAUGCCUAGGAAUCUGCCUGGUAGUGGGGGAUAACGUCCGGAAACGGGCGCUAAUACCGCAUACUAUCAGAUGAGCCUAGGUCGGAUUAGCUAGUUGGUGGGGUAAAGGCCUACCAAGGCCACGAUGCCUAGCCGACCUGAGAGGGUGAUCGGCCACACUGGGACUGAGACACGGCCCAGACUCCUACGGGAGGCAGCAGGAGGGAAUCUUCGGCAAUGGACGAAAGUCGGACCGAGCAACGCCGCGUGUAGGAAGAAGGCCUUCGGGUUGUAAAGUACUUUCAGUCGGGAGGCGUUACCGACAGAAGAAGCACCGGCUAACUCCGUGCCAGCAGCCGCGGUAAUAC